GUCAGGCCGUGCCGCCCACCCCGCCCCGCUCCUCGCCAGGCUGCUCCACCCGCCCCGCCGCUCGUCACGCUUCCUCGUCCGCCCCGCCCCUCGCUAGGCUGCACCGCCCGCCCCGCUUCCGCCCCAUCCCUCUCCAGGCCGCGCCUCCGCCUCCGGCCCGCCCUCGUCUCCGCCCCUGCGGGGGCUGCUCGUUAGGCCCCGCCCUGCACCCCCGUCACCCACGCCGCGCGACCCGCAGCCGCCGCCAGGGCCCUCUGCUGCCGCGGAGGUGCUAGGACAGCCGCGGACGGCCCGCCUCCCCGUGCCCCGGGCCUCGAGGCCAAUAAAAAGCUCGCCCCUCCAGCUCACCGGGUCCGACGGGUACGGUACAAAGUGCUGUCUCUCGCCACAGCCACCUUUGUGACAAUAAAAGCAAUAAGGCUAAUGUCCAUGGGGCGCUCACGUUUAUGCAUGAACAGAGAAAGCUGAGAUACGGAGACUAGUGAUCCGUCGAGGUAAUAAACGGCACAGGUGGGGUUUGAACUCCAUCAGUUUGAUUGCAGAGGCCUGGAACAACCCUACAGCCUUCUCUCAGAUCUUUUCUGGACCUUUUUCUAUGCGCUUUGAAUGUGAGCUCCAGGAGGACACGACCCUCCCUGUUUCCUUGUUCCCUGCUGUGUCCCAGUACCAAGCACAGUGUCUGAUAUACACCUAGGACGUGAGGCUGCCAAGCUUGGUAUUCAAUAAAUAUUGAUGGAUGAAGGAACAAUGGAAGAAAGGAGUGCAUGGGUAAACAAAUGACAAAUAUGUCAAAGCACGGAUGCAGAUUCUUAGAAUGGGCUAAUGCUGUUUUCUGCUGGAUUUUUGGAUGUGUACAAACGAGUUCUCUCACAAUACAGAUCCACAGUGUCUGGGUCAGAGGAGAACUGAUGCUCCGCAUGGCAUUUUACCAUCCUGCCUGCCUGCCUGGGGCCCUGGGCCCACAGGCUUUGGGGAGAGUGUAUGGCCAGGCUGCAGCCUUCCUGGGAUAAAGCUCUGCCUUUUAGUCUCUUAUCCUACUUUUUAGAAGCCCUUUAAGGUCUUUGUUAAAGGAAAUCUAAUGUGAAGAAUUCCAGGAGAACUGGAUAAGCCUGACUAUGGGUGGGCGUGACUGAAUUACUUCCCGGGCUGGCUAAGGAAGGCCUCCCCCGAAGUGCAUCGGAAGCCUGCAGCUUCUCCUUAUGGCCACUGGAGGGCACUUGGACCAUGAAAUACCAGAUCGUCUCGGCGUCCCAGGUCUUUGGAAAUGUGUGAUUCAAUUCAGCAAACGUUUCAAAAUCAUCACUAUAAAGAUAGCGCUUUUGUGUUGAACAUCCAAUAUGGCGCUAAACACCUUAUAUAUAUGUGUGCGUGUAUAUAUGAACUUGCUUAAUAUUAACUACAAUUGUUGUGAGUUACUUAGGCUAUUUAGGAAAAAAAAA
rnacentral:lncRNA from 1 species